rnacentral:sRNA from 1 species
GGCUGGUCUGAAGGUAGCAAGUUCUUUCAAUUGAUUGUUCACAUUCAGUUACAGAUUGAACUUUUUGUUCUACUCUUUACCCACUUCUCACUACACUUGACUAAAAA